rnacentral:rRNA from 1 species
UACGUAGGUGACAAGCGUUGUCCGGAUUUACUGGGCGUAAAGAGCGCGCAGGCGGUCGUUCAAGUCGAGUGUGAAAGCCCCCGGCUCAACUGGGGAGGGUCAUUCGAUACUGAUCGACUCGAAGGCAGGAGAGGGAAGUGGAAUUCCCGGUGUAGUGGUGAAAUGCGUAGAUAUCGGGAAGAACACCCGUGGCGAAGGCGGCUCUCUGGGACGGUACUGACGCUGAGACGCGAAAGCGUGGGGAGCGAACAGG